GAUGAAGAACGCAGCGAAAUGCGAUAAGUAAUGUGAAUUGCAGAAUUCAGUGAAUCAUCGAAUCUUUGAACGCACCUUGCGCUCCUUGGCAUUCCGAGGAGCAUGCCUGUUUGAGUGUCAUUAAAUUCUCAAGACCUGUCUGCUUUUUUGAUAGGUAUUGGAUUUUGGGGGUUGCAGGCUGUUUCAAACAAAUAGCCUUGCUCUCCUUGAAUGUAUUAGUGGAGAAAAGCCAUUGAACUCCAUUGGUGUGAUAAAACCUAUCAAUGCCAGGAGCAAUAUCACUACUUCUCUCUGCUGUCUAACUGUGACUGUCUGUAUUAAUUAGUAUGGAUGGGGACAACUUGACCAACUUGACCUCAAAUCAGGUAGGACUACCCGCUGAACUUAAGCAUAUCAAUAAGCGGAGGA
rnacentral:misc_RNA from 1 species